rnacentral:misc_RNA from 1 species
UAGAGUUAUUCAACUCCAAAACCCACUGUGAAUCUAUCUGCGUCUACUGUUCCUUUGGCAGGCGAUCCCUGGGAGGGGUCUCUGAGCCGGUUGCGGCGCCUGCCGAAGGAAUGCAAACUCUUGUGAUUACAGUUGUCUGAGUCAUUAUAAAUAAAAGUUA